rnacentral:rRNA from 1 species
AUUGAACGCUGGCGGAAUGCUUUACACAUGCAAGUCGAACGGCAGCACGGGGGCAGCCCGGGCUGCGAGUGGCGGACGGGUGAGUAAUACAUCGGAACGUGGCCGGCCGCGGGGGAUUACGUGAUGACAGAUACGCUCAUACCCCAUACGCGCAGACGAUGAAAGCGGGGGAGCAUCGGACCUUGCGCGCUCGGGCGAGCCGAUGUCGGAUUAGGUAGUUGGCGGGGUAAAGGCCUACCAAGCCGACGAUCUGUAGCUGGUCUGAGAGGAUGAUCAGCCACACUGGGACUGAGACACGGUCCAGACUCCUACGGGAGGCAGCAGUGGGGAAUAUUGGACAAUGGGCGCAAGCCUGAUCCAGCCAUACCGCGUGCAGGACGAAGGCCUUCGGGUUGUAAACUGCUUUUGUACGGAACGAAAAGGCUCUGGCUAAUACCUGGGGGUCAUGACGGUACCGAAAGAAUAAGCACCGGCUAACUACGUG